rnacentral:rRNA from 1 species
CUGCGAAGGGGGGACGGAGAAGGCUAUGUUGGCCGGGCGACGGUUGUCCCGGUUUAAGCGUGUAGGUGUGUGUUCCAGGUAAAUCCGGUUCACUUUAACACUGAGGCGUGACGACGAGGCACUACGGUGCUGAAGCAACAAAUGCCCUGCUUCCAGGAAAAGCCUCUAAGCAUCAGGUAACAUCAAAUCGUACCCCAAACCGACACAGGUG